rnacentral:SRP_RNA from 1 species
GCUGGGCGUGGUGGCGGGCGCCUGUAAUCCCAGCUACUCAGGAGGCUGAGGCAGGAGAAUUGCUUGAACCCGGGAGGCAGAGGUUGCAGUGAGCCAAGAUCUCGCCACUGCACUCCAGCCUGGGCGACAGAGCGAGACUCUGUCUCGA